GCCAACGGCCAUAUCACGCUGAAUACACCAGUUCUCGUCCGAUCACUGAAGUUAAGCAGCGUUGAGCCUAGUCAGUACUUGGAUGGGUGACCGCCUGGGAACACUGGGUGCUGUUGGCA
rnacentral:rRNA from 1 species